GAUGAACGCUGGCAGAAUGCUUAACACAUCAGCAAUUGAUUGGUGGCGGACGGGUGAGUAACGCGUCAAGAACUUGCCUCACAGCUAGGGACCACAUUUAGAAAUGAAUGCUAAUACCUGAUCCUGUGCGAGAGCUUUGCGUCCCAUUAGCUAGUUGGAGAGGUAGCAGCUCACCAAGGCGAUGAUGGGUAGCCGGCCUGAGAUGGUGAACGGCCACAAGGGGAAUGAGACACGGCCCUUAGGCAUACGGGAGGCAGGAGUGGGGAAUAUUGGACAAAGGACCGAAGUCUGAUCAAGCAAUUCUGUGUGCACGAUGAAGUUUUCGGAAUGUAAAGUGCUUUCAGUUGCGAAGCGGUACCAACAGAAGAAGUGACGGCUAAAUACGUGCCAGCAGCCGCGGUAAUAC
rnacentral:rRNA from 1 species